UGCAAGUCGAGCGAACAGAUAAGGAGCUUGCUCCUUUGACGUUAGCGGCGGACGGGUGAGUAACACGUGGGUAACCUACCUAUAAGACUGGGAUAACUUCGGGAAACCGGAGCUAAUACCGGAUAACAUUUGGAACCGCAUGGUUCUAAAGUGAAAGAUGGUUUUGCUAUCACUUAUAGAUGGACCCGCGCCGUAUUAGCUAGUUGGUAAGGUAACGGCUUACCAAGGCGACGAUACGUAGCCGACCUGAGAGGGUGAUCGGCCACACUGGAACUGAGACACGGUCCAGACUCCUACGGGAGGCAGCAGUAGGGAAUCUUCCGCAAUGGGCGAAAGCCUGACGGAGCAACGCCGCGUGAGUGAUGAAGGGUUUCGGCUCGUAAAACUCUGUUAUUAGGGAAGAACAAACGUGUAAGUAACUGUGCACGUCUUGACGGUACCUAAUCAGAAAGCCACGGCUAACUACGUGCCAGCAGCCGCGGUAAUACGUAGGUGGCAAGCGUUAUCCGGAAUUAUUGGGCGUAAAGCGCGCGUAGGCGGUUUCUUAAGUCUGAUGUGAAAGCCCACGGCUCAACCGUGGAGGGUCAUUGGAAACUGGGAAACUUGAGUGCAGAAGAGGAAAGUGGAAUUCCAUGUGUAGCGGUGAAAUGCGCAGAGAUAUGGAGGAACACCAGUGGCGAAGGCGACUUUCUGGUCUGUAACUGACGCUGAUGUGCGAAAGCGUGGGGAUCAAACAGGAUUAGAUACCCUGGUAGUCCACGCCGUAAACGAUGAGUGCUAAGUGUUAGGGGGUUUCCGCCCCUUAGUGCUGCAGCUAACGCAUUAAGCACUCCGCCUGGGGAGUACGACCGCAAGGUUGAAACUCAAAGGAAUUGACGGGGACCCG
rnacentral:rRNA from 1 species